rnacentral:rRNA from 1 species
UCCAGACUCCUACGGGAGGCAGCAGUGAGGAAUAUUGGUCAAUGGGCGCGAGCCUGAACCAGCCAAGUCGCGUGAGGGAGGACGGCCCUACGGGUUGUAAACCUCUUUUGCCGGGGAGCAACGGGCGUCACGUGUGGCGCCACUGAGAGUACCCGGAGAAAAAGCAUCGGCUAACUCCGUGCCAGCAGCCGCGGUAAUACGGAGGAUGCGAGCGUUAUCCGGAUUUAUUGGGUUUAAAGGGUGCGUAGGCGGAUCGUUAAGUCAGUGGGCAAAUUGGGGGGCUCAACCCGGGCCGGCCGUUGAAACUGGGGAUCUUGAGUGGGCGAGAAGUAUGCGGAAUGCGUGGUGUAGCGGUGAAAUGCAUAGAUAUCACGCAGAACUCCGAUUGCGAAGGCAGCAUACCGGCGCCCGACUGACGCUGAGGCACGAAAGCGUGGGGAUCGAACAGGAUUAGAUACCCUAGUA